rnacentral:rRNA from 1 species
CAUGGCUCAGGACGAACGCUGGCGGCGUGCUUAACACAUGCAAGUCGAACGGGAUGAUUUAGAAGCUUGCUUUUAGAAAAUCUAGUGGCAAACGGGUGAGUAACACGUAGACAACCUGCCGACAGGAUGGGGACAACAUUCCGAAAGGAAUGCUAAUACCGAAUGAAGCGGAGGAGAGGCAUCUCUCUUCCGUGAAAGAUGGCCUCUGAACAUGCUAUCACCUGUCGAUGGGUCUGCGUCUGAUUAGCUGGUUGGUGAGGUAACGGCUCACCAAGGCGACGAUCAGUAGCCGGUCUGAGAGGAUGAACGGCCACAUUGGGACUGAGACACGGCCCAGACUCCUACGG